rnacentral:rRNA from 1 species
CAGUAGCCACGGUAAUACGUAGGAUGCGAGCGUUAAUCGGAAUUACUGGGCGUAAAGCGUGCGCAGGCGGUUGUGUAAGACAGGUGUGAAAUCCCCGGGCUUAACCUGGGAACUGCGCUUGUGACUGCACAGCUAGAGUAUGGCAGAGGGGGGUGGAAUUCCACGUGUAGCAGUGAAAUGCGUAGAGAUGUGGAGGAACACCGAUGGCGAAGGCAGCCCCCUGGGCCAAUACUGACGCUCAUGCACGAAAGCGUGGGGAGCAAACAGGAUUAGAUACCCGCGUAGUCCCUGUCUCUUAUAC